AUUGAACGCUGGCGGCAUGCCUUACACAUGCAAGUCGAACGGCAGCAUAGGAGCUUGCUCCUGAUGGCGAGUGGCGAACGGGUGAGUAAUAUAGCGGAACGUGCCCGAGAGUGGGGGAUAAUUAGUCGAAAGACUAGCUAAUACCGCAAACGACCGGCUGGUGCAAGUGGGGGAACGGAAGGCCUCAUGCUCAAUGAUCGGCCGAUGUCUGAUUAGCUAGUUGGCGGGGUAAAGGCCUACCAAGGCGACGAUCAGUAGCUGGUCUGAGAGGACGAUCAGCCACACUGGGACUGAGACACGGCCCAGACUCCUACGGGAGGCAGCAGUGGGGAAUUUUGGACGAUGGGCGAAAGCCUGAUCCAGCAAUGCCGCGUGUGUGAAGAAGGCCUUUUGGUUGUAAAGCACUUUAAGCGAGGAGGAGGCUACUUAGAUUAAUACUCUGGGAUAGUGGACGUUACUCGCAGAAUAAGCACCGGCUAACUCUGUGCCAGCAGCCGCGGUAA
rnacentral:rRNA from 1 species